rnacentral:lncRNA from 1 species
AAGUUAGAAGAGAGAGAGGAAAGAGGGAAGGAGAGUGAGUGAGCCAGUCAACCCCAACCACUGAGAGCUCAUCAUCUAAGGAAUCGAAGAGAUUAUUGUGAUAAAGCAAACUUUCUGGAAAAGAAACACAUAUCCUUGUAAGGAAGAAAUGGUCCAUGCAUUUGGGCUGGCAACUUGUGAAGGAAGCAACACCACUUCCAUAUGUCUCCUGCGAAGCCUCAGGAAACUCAUGCUGCUCACAUCAGAACUCUGGAUGGUAUAUGAUUUGCUGCUCAGUGGGAGGACAUUUAAAAUUCCUGAAGGAAAUACUUGGCAUCAAUAAUCUCAAGUGUGUGCUACACGGUGGGAUGGAGAGCAAAGAGCUGUUUUGCUCGGGGCGCUUGCUCUGCAUGGUAUGCUUUGUGAGGAUACACCAUGUCUUCAUGAGCUCCCAGGGUUGCUGA